CAGCUGUGCUGUUUAGAGCUCCCGAGCACACACCCUUCUGCGUCGUCCGAUCGAAAUCGCCGCAUCAGGUGCUGGGCGGUCGGGUCCAUGCCGCCCAAAGACCAAUUCCUCUCUCUUGUCUCACAAGCUCACCCCCACCCCCCACUGUGCACACCUGACACCUUCCUCCAUGCCCCGGCGAGAUCCGAUGCGCCCCGCCUCCGUCGACCUGGCCCUCGUGCUGGCCCGCCUCCACCGAGCCAACCCUGCGCCGGAGCUCUUCCUUCCCCGGCCUUCUUCCCCGUUGACGCACCCACACCCCGACCGGCAGCAAAGCAUCCCACCCGAGCGGACGCGCUCCUUGCCCACAGACCGGCGCCGACGCGGCCCCGCGCCCAACUUCUCCCUCCCGUCAUCGUCCUACGUCCCGCCGCGUCGAUCCCUCGCCGGGUCGAUGCAUCCCACGGCUGGGACCUUCGAUCCCCGUCGGAUCUGGGCCGAAGGUUGCGGCUGCUUCGGCUGGCCCCUGCAAAUUCCAACCAUCGACGACGCCCCUGCUCGUUGUGGACUCGUGGACCUAUGAAUCCACAAGUCAACAUGUAGUGCCGGAGCAUGGGCUGCAUCGGCAAGGUCGACAAGGCCAUCAGGCCAUGGCCUUCGUGAGAACCUUCACAGAGGUGGAAAUGGCGGUGGGAGAUGUCGGCACUGGAGUCGUGGCCGUGGCGGGGAAGAUGAAGCGGGCGGAGCUAUGCCAGUGGCUCAAGAGGAAGACAAGGAAGGAUGUGAAGAUUUUUUGUCCUCGUCCACCGGCUGAGAAUCUUGUUAAGCAGAAUCGUGUCUACUCUGUUCUUGCCAGAAUGAUGAUACAAACACCAAUUAUAUGAACCUACAGAUGAAUCUACAGGUCCAAGGAGUACCUGUCCCGAUAGCCUACCUAGCCAUUGUUGCUUUGUUCCAUUUUCUCAUGGACAAGAUGGAUAUGUAAUGUCUGGUAGUCUGUAGUUGCCCUUUCGUCAAACUCGUCGAGCAAAGGCGGCAUUGUAUCUCUGAAUUUUGACAACAAGCAAUUUUUGGGAGGGCUCGAGGUGGAAGUUGUUUGACGGUGGGGCAUGAGUUGCCUUCUCGUGUGUAUGUUAUCUGAGAAACUGAUAAGUAGAGUGCACAAGUUGGAGUGCCUCGGGAAAAUGCCAAAAAUUGCCCAACUUUGAGGAAACAGUUUCUACACAUGCUGGACCCCCAAACAAAACCUUUCCAAGCUAUCAAAGUAAUGCCCAAGUAAGGAAACCUCUACCAGCAAUCACCUACUCUCCAGGACGCAGUAGAAAACAUUGCAGGAUAUUAGAGAAAUGAGGGAAAACGCAAUGGGAGAAAAGUUUGCACCCACGAUGAACAAAGGUCCUUUCGAUGGGGUGGAUUCACUGCCCCCGUCCUCCUUUUGCAUGUGGGAGAAGAAAAGAAGAAGAGUGUGGGGACAGGUGGGGAGAGAAGAAGAAAGGAGGGAGGGGCCAAUGGGCACAGGGGCAGUUGAGAGGAGAGAAGCUGGGUGGAAGGGGGGACAUGGGAGACGGUCGUCUCUUUACUUUCCAAAUCUGUAUUGAGGGGGGACCGAAACAUGCCUAAUAGGGGAGGCUGCCAGGGGCACUAGCGGGCAAACGAUUGCCCGCUAGACGCGUCCCAUUUUUUCUAGUGCUGCGGGCAGCUCAUUAGUGUUAGCAGAAUAAGGAUUUGGUGUGCAAAAUAAGACUCUAGAGGGUGUUAUCAUAAUAGACCCACCCUCUAUAUAUAUAUAUAUAUAUAUAUAUAUAUAUAUAUAUAUAUAUAUAUAUAUAUAGCCCUUAAAUCUAACAAUCAAAUUAUGAGAGAAUCAUCUAUACUUGAACUAGAAAGGUCGAUUCUGUGUCUCGAUUUUGUUUAGGAAUAUUAGCAAGUUGAGUAAUCUUAUUCUUUCUAAAAUAGGGAUAUUUCUGAAUGUUGUUUACUACUUCUAUUAUGUUGCUUAUUUUUGUGGUUCCAUUUGAACAGGAUGUACGUGCACUCUUGUCUCCGUCAUUAUACCUAUUUUGGAAUCCAUGGCAGCAUGUUGUGCUUUGUCGGCACAUUCGUGCAUGUCUGAGGUCGCAGAUGAAGAAGCACCGAAUGAUCAUUAUAUUCUCCUCUGCUCUUAUCUUCUAUUGACAUAUGUAUGAUGUACCAUAUUUCCUGGUAUUUCCUGAGAUUCUGGACUGGUUGUUUGACAGUGAUUAUUAUGUAAAAGUGUUUUUAGUUGCUGUUUAGUAUGGAUGCCUCCAUGAUUGCAUAGGCAUCCAACACAUCGGCGGUUUCAAGGCCGGUCCUGGGCGGCGCCUCGUCAGCGUCGUGGAUGGCUUGGGCAGCGCCUUGGCAUUCCAGAGGGGCAAAGUGGGCCGGCCAGCAUGCGUGGGGCGCAAAGGUGACGAGCAGGAGGGAGAUGCCCUGGAGGUGAUGGAGGAGGAAGUCGGAGGUGGCAUCAGCGUCCAUGGCGACGCCACCCCGGGAACCCUCCUGCACACCUCGGCAUGGCUCGUCUGUGCCACAUGGUGGCCAAGAUGCUAGUACCUCCUCUCUCUGGCUUCUCUCUUAUUUGCCCCUUUUUCUCGGGGAUGAGGGCGUCGGUGCAUCAUCAGGAGUGGAUCAAGAGCGGACCGUAGCAGCAGGAGCAAGGAUCUGGUGGUGGUUCAUGAUAUUGGACUGCAUUACUAAAUGUUCUAGGGUUGGAGAGAGCUUAGGUGAGUGCUCAAGUUCUAUGUGGAUAACAAUAACAAAAAAUAAAUAGAAAUCCAAAUCUCUAAAAAACUGACGGAAUCAUGUAUAUAUAUAUAUUUUCUAGGAUGUACUCUUUCUGAUUCCUAUUGUGAGAUGUUCGUUUGUAUGUUAUUUUCUUCCUUUUGUAAUUUGUUUUCUUUCUUUGGUGCUGCUUGAAGUGAUAUUUUGAUAUUCAUUUUUUUCUGAAAUUACAAGUCAGUCGCUUUUAUUUUUGAGUAUACAUAUUAACUGAUGCACAACUGGAUGCCAUUUUAUCCUGUGUGGCAUAAUGAUGGUAGUGAUUUGAAGCCAACCCAGAACUAUUAGUGAUCUUGACAAGUGGUGCUCUAAUAUUCAGUUGUUUUCUGAAAUUAAAUUUAGUUAGUUUUGUGUUUGAGUACGAAAAUAGUACAAAAGAGUGGUGUUCUAAUAUAUUUUUGUGUUAGGAAAUUAGAAGUUAUUUCAUUUUAGUUGAAGCCCAUCCAAGUAGCAUUUUAUUGUGUCUGUAGGUCUACCUAGUAAUGUGAGUCAGUGUAUCGAUUUGCCAAUUCUUGAUCAGUAUAUAAAAAUUCUUGAGCUGACGUGAUGCCUGCAAUGCUUUUUUUGUCUCCGCUAUUUUCUUCCUUUAGUGUACAAACUGUUUUUAUUCCCAGUUUCUGGUUUCUGUGUGCAUAGUAGGUUCAGAAUCAAUUUCUAAAAACACAAACUUUGCCAUGUUUUCUCGCCAUCAUCCACCUCCUGGUCCUUGUUCGUAACCCCUCUCUGCCAAUUUGAGAGACUGUUCUGUGCUUCCAGAGAAAUACAACUUAUUUAUUAGGUUUCUCAGUUUCUCGAAUAUGCAGUAUAGCUGCUAAUGCUUCUUUGUUUUGUUGUAUCAUUUCUGCAUAUGUAAUUUUAAUUGGCAGAGAGGGGGGGGGGGGGGGGGGGGGGGGGGGGGCAGGAGAAACGGAUGCGCCGGACGGUGCUUGUCAUGAUGUGCCUGUGAGUACCCUCCCCCUACCUUAGUUGUUGUUCUCCUUGUUUACCCCAUAACGGCUGCUUCGCGCGGAUCUGCGCCUCCAUCUAUCGCAAGGAGGGGAGGGCUAGAGCAGUCACCGUUGAGCAGGGAGGCGGCUGGAGUUGUCCGUUAUUGAGGAAAGAAUAGCAGCUCGGGGAGACUUGAGGCAGCGGUGGCGGGGAGUGUGUGUGUGUGUUCAGAACAGAUGUGUUUUCAAAACUUAUUACUUUUGAUACACUGCCCCUUUAUGUUGAGCAGAUGUGGAUAAUAUUUAGGGAGAUUAAGAUGCUCAAGAUCAAGGUCCGCUCCACAUGAAAUUUUAUUUCUCUAAUGAGAUUUCUUGAACUUACUUGUAGAAAGAUGAGCACGACAAUUCCCUUCACCAGUGUCUUUUUGUGCCAAUGUUUUGCAGGAAUGCAGACUGAAGGCUGCCAAUGAUACCCUUCAAGAAAGGGUACUAUACUCUAACCCAGAUUCAUUUUAAAGAAACAACACUAUUUGAGAUGUUACCUUUUGAUUUUAGGAUAGCAGAACAGUUUAAGCAUUUAGACUUGACCAAAUCAUGGUAGAAAGGGAAUCAUUCAUAGGAGUGGUAGACAAUCUUAUUGCCAGUCUUUUAUAUUUUAUAGCUAUGGACGUGCCAGUAAAAGGUAGUUUUGCAUAUGAUUCAGGGAUGCAAGUGGGUCAGGCCAUCUACCCACCAUAGAAACAUUUUUAAAGUAGGCCAACAUUAUUCUUAAUGUCUAAACAUGUUUCCAAACAUUCUAUAUACUCCCUCCGUCCGGAAAUACUUGCCGGAGAAAUAGAUAAAAAUGGGUCUAUCUAGAACUAAAAUACAUCUAGGUACACUCAUUUCUCCGACAAGUAUUUUUGGACGGAGAGAGUAGACAAGUAUUUUUGGACGGAGAGAGUAUUAUUUGAAGGUAUGCCCAUGAUGAGGUUUCUUCAUUCUAUCUUCUGUAGCAAUAGUUUCCCUCUUUUGUUCUUCCAAAAACAAGCAACUAUGUUUGGGCACAAUCUGUAUACAGUCAAAUCACACCUUAAUUUUGCGUGUCUCACAUUUGAGUCUAACCUGCAACAUAUCAAGUGAGUCUAAUUGUAUUGUUUUUUCUAAUAUCAUCUGUUGACUACUUUGAUGCUUCGGAGUUUAUCCUAUGAGUGCAUCUGCAACAAUUUGGUAUCUGGUUUUUAUUUCAUUUCCUUACAAUUCACAGUAAGCCUUCUUGAAUAAAUCAUGGUGUGACCUAAUAUUAUGGUCGCUGGUCAAUUAUAGCGGCACAAUUCAAGGAUGAGACGCGAACUUGGUUUCAAGCUUGACAAGCUUGUGAUGCUCAUGCAUAGCAGAUGUUCGUAUUGUAAUCAAGUUAUGCUAUGCGUCCAGUCGGUAUCCACUCCUAAAUUAUCAAAUUAUGCUAGGUGUUUACAAUUGUUGAUUAUUACGGUCUUUAGUUGUCACUUACUGAACUUGGAGUCUUUCUGAAAUUUGCUUAUAGCUGCGGCUAUUAAAUUUUUAAUGCAAUCUUAUAAUGUUACGUACUCUCAAUUUUCCAGAAUGCUUUUAAAGAUGUGAGAGUGCAACUUAAUAUAAUUUGAAGUUAACUGUACAUGACUACUUUUUUGCAGCCCUAACAGAUAAAUGGAAACAUCUAUUGGGUGGUACUCUCACUACUUAGCAAAGAGAAUGAAAGGUCAACAUUUAUGGUCAUGCUGCCCAUGCUUCGGAAAAAAGGCAAAAAUGUUUUACGGCUCAUGCAUGGGAAGUAUAGACCAAAGAAUGUGGUUUACAGUUUCCCUAUUUUGUUGGAUCAACUAAUGUGCUGCUUUGUUGCUUCAUGUGAGUGAUGUAUGUAAUCAAGAAUAGGAAAGCAUACCAGUAUAUUGCAAUUCUAAAACUUAGAAAAAUGCCCAAACCUACACAUUUGUAAUUAACAUUUAGCGCUACAUGUUGUCAUUGGGUCAUUUUGCCAUGUGAUGUUAUUAUACAAAUAUGUUUUCUCAA